CAGCACGGAGGCUCCUGGCUCUUCCGUGAAAGGGGAAAGAAGACUCAGCAUCAGGGUCCUUUGCACUUAGAAACUCUUGCUGCAAAUCCCGUGGUAGGCUCCCUCUUCCUUUAGGACUUCUUGACAGGAAGGUUUUUCCCCCUCCAUGGACAUAGCUGGGCUUCGCAGGUGGCGCUAAUGUUAAAGAAUCCGCCUGCCAAGCUAGGAGACAACACAGGUUCGAUCACUGAGUAGGGAAGAUUUGCUGGAGGAGGCCAUGGCAACCCACUCCAGUAUUCUUGCUAGAAACAUCCCAUGGACAGAGAAGACUGCAGUCAUGUAUGGAUGCGAAAGUUGGACUGUGAAGAAAGCUGAGCGCCAAAGAAUUGAUCCUUUUGAACUGUGGUGUUGGAGAAGACUCUUGAGAGUCCCUUGGACUGCAAGGAGAUCCAACCAGUCCAUUCUAAAGGAGAUCAGUCCUGGGUGUUCUUUGGAAGGACUGAUGCUGAAGCUGAAACUCCAGUACUUUGGCCACCUCAUGUGAAGAGCUGACUCAUUGGAAAAGACUCUGAUGCUGGGAGGGAUUGGGGGCAGGA
ensembl:lncRNA